CUACGGGCGGCAGCAGUUAGGAAUAUUCGUCAAUGGGGGAAACCCUGAACGAGCAAUGCCGCGUGAGUGAUGAAGGUCCUUUGGAUUGUAAAACUCUGUUGUAAGGAAUGAACCCUUAGUAUAGGAAAUGAUACUAAGCUGACAGUACCUUACCAGAAAGCCCCGGCUAACUACGUGCCAGCAGCCGCGGCAAUACGUAGGGGGCGAGCGUUAUCCGGAUUUAUUGGGCGUAAAGAGUAUGUAGGCGGUUUAUUAAGUAUAAGAUUAAAGGCUGGGGCUUAACCUCAGUUCGUCUUAUAAACUGAUAGACUUGAGUGUAGUAGAGGUAAACGGAAUUUCUAGUGUAGCGGUUAAAUGCGUAGAUAUUAGAAGGAACAUCAGUGGCGAAGGCGGUUUACUGGGCUAUUACUGACGCUGAGAUACGAAAGCAUGGGGAGCAAAUAGGAUUAGAUACCCUUGUAGUC
rnacentral:rRNA from 1 species